rnacentral:rRNA from 1 species
AUUGAACGCUGGCGGCAUGCCUAACACAUGCAAGUCGAACGGAGAUAGGGGCAACCUUAUUUCAGUGGCGGACGGGUGAGGAAUGCGUCGGAAUCUGCCCUAUGGUGGGGGAUAACACAGGGAAACUUGUGCUAAUACCGCAUAAUGUCGAGAGACCAAAGCAGGGGACCGCAAGGCCUUGCGCGAUAGGAUGAGCCGACGCCCGAUUAGCUUGUUGGUAGGGUAAUGGCCUACCAAGGCGACGAUCGGUAGCUGGUCUGAGAGGAUGAUCAGCCACACUGGGACUGAGACACGGCCCAGACUCCUACGGGAGGCAGCAGUGGGGAAUAUUGGACAAUGGGCGCAAGCCUGAUCCAGCCAUGCCGCGUGAGUGAAGAAGGCCU